rnacentral:lncRNA from 1 species
GCCUCUCCGUCAAAAAAAUCCCGCGGUGGAAGCGGCGGAAAUGGCUCUGGUGGUGGCGGGAACGGAAAUGUUAUUGGUAGUAGUAGUAAUAAUCAGGCGGCAUCGGUGGUGGUGGAUGCGUUGGCGGCGGGAUUGAGCGGGUUGAAUUUUGAGGAGACGGUGGAUGAUGAGGGUUUUGAGUACGGAAAGGGGGAUUUUGGUGUAGAGCAUGCUUGUAAGUACUGUGGAGUAACGAAUCCUGCUUGUGUAGUUAGGUGCAAUGUCCCGUCUUGCCGUAAGUGGUUUUGUAAUUCAAGGGGGAAUACUUCGGGUUCACAUGUUGUUAAUCACCUGGUAUGUAAGAGAGAUGCAAUUUUUUUCUCUCGCAUAUUUGAUAUGCUUGUUUUUCGUGGUCUAUAGAAAUGUGCAAAAUAGAUGUCAUCCUACAACAACAACUAUGUCAGUCCCAAUGGGUUGGUUCUAUGAAUCCUUACAGAAUAUGUUACUCAUAUAAACUCAUUGCCAAUGUCUUACAAAAUAAAAAUAAAAGGUAUAAGAAGUUUAUAUUUCCUAUUGAUGUAUAAAUAUCUGAUGAGCGGAUUGAAUUUUGAGGAGACGGUGGAUGAUGAGGGUUUUGAGUACGGAAAGGGGGAUUUUGGUGUUGAGCAUGCUUGUAAGUACUGUGGAGUGACGAAUCCUGCUUGUGUAGUUAGGUGCAAUGUGCCGUCUUGCCGUAAGUGGUUUUGUAAUUCAAGGGGGAAUACUUCGGGCUCACAUAUUGUUAAUCACCUGGUA